rnacentral:lncRNA from 1 species
GUUUUAACCUUUAACUUCUCCCUGUUCUUAUUCAAUAAUCAAAAUCUUCACACAGAAAGUCUUCACAAGGUCCAAAUUCAUAGGUGAGUUUCACAAAAUCUACAUAUAACACAAUUUUCUCAAUAAAUAAGAGCCUGAGAGGAGACUCUUCAUAAAAACUCCACCCCGCCAGUUCUGAAUCGCCGAAACGUGAGGAGUCACGUCGAAAGCGGACGCAAGAGCUUGUGGGGAAUGUAGUCCUGAAGGAGUCUGGUUCGCCGCGCAGCACUCUGGGAUGGGGCUACUGGGCUCCUUCUGCGCCUGUGCAGCCGAAGCCCCACCGCCUCAUUUGAGUUCUGGAGACUUCGGGGAAGCGGUUGGGAAGCUCUGGGGUCGGCUCGCAAAGUAGAGGGGACGCAGCUGGGGCGGGAGGGCCGCGUUUGUGCCCGGGAGUGGGAGAGGAAGCGGGAAGUUCGUGGGAUUCCCGCCCCCAGUGUCAGUGGAUGCGACCGGGCGGGCCCUCGGCCUUCCCGGCCGGUGGAGAGGGACCGCGGUCACUGGCUCCCCCGGGGCGGCUGGGGCUGAGCGCUGGUCGGGAGCAGGUGCCGGGUGCGGGCCGCGGUGUGCGGGACGGGAGCCUGGCGCGAGCGGCGGCGGGAGGGGAAAGCGCAUUUGUAACGCGAGCGACAGCGUGCCCGAAAUCCCCGGACGGUGGGUCUGCAUCGAGACCCCGAGCUCUGGAGCUGGAAGAACCCGGAUGCCAUACUGCUGUUAACACAUGUGACACUGGAGAAUCCCAGCAUGAUGAUACAUGAAGAGUUUUCUGUGGUUAUCUACUUCUGAUUCUUUUGAAAGCUUUAAAGACAUUGGGCAUGAAAGGUUCGGUGAGUUUCCAGGGACCCCUCCUUUGUGGCAGAGCCAGGAGGAAAACAGUUCUGUUCCUUUUUUCAUGUAAGUCACCAAAAGUGACUUACAUCCCAGUUAAAACAUCUAAAACUCUUUGCCUUAAAGUAUCUCAUCUCUUUUACAAGACUUUCUGUGGAUUGUCUAUCCCAAGGGUAAACAGUAUUACUAAGAAAAAUAAUUAAAUGAUGCACACUGAAUAUUUUUCUGUUAAUUUAGUGUUUUAGAGACAGAGUCUCAUCCUGUUGUCCAGGCAGGAGUGCGGUGGCACAAACACGGCUGACUGCAGCCUCUACCUCCUGCGCUCAAGUGAUCCUCCUGCCUCAGCCUCCCAAGUAGCAGGGACCACAGGCGCAUGCUACCACACCUGGCUAAUUGUUUAAGUUUUUAUUUUCUGUAGAGA